rnacentral:lncRNA from 1 species
AUGUCUCCCCUGAUGGUAGUGUACCCAGGAGUUGUGACCUUUUGUGUUAUAUCAGGGAAGGGCUCUAGAAGACCGUGGUCGACAAAUAUGCUAUACUAUAAAUUGGCUGGAAAUUGUCCAACUAACACUCAGCCAAGACCAAGGAGUUCGCCUAUGCAUCCAUUAAGAGUUGUUACUGAGAUAUCAAAAGACAAGUGCCUUAAUGCAGCUGAACAAGAUGAGGAUUUUUGGAGAUAUAGUGCUGACCAAGAAGCCCUGCUUACUCUGGAAAGAGAAUUACAAAGUUAUACAAGUCUUCAGGAAAAACUUUGCAGCUUAACUUCUGAAGACUUCUGUAGUACAGAUUUCCACAAAAAUCUGGAACUAAAAGACCACAGUGGAGUUGAUACUUUAAGGGGCUGGGAUGAAAGCCAAGUGGAUGAUGAGGAAGAAAUUCUGAAGGAUAAGCAACAGGUUCUUGCGUUACAGUGA